rnacentral:rRNA from 1 species
UACAGAGGGUGCAAACGUUGUUCGGAAUUACUGGGCGUAAAGCGUGUGUAGGCGGUUCGGUAAGUCGGAUGUGAAAGCCCCGGGCUCAACCCGGGAAGUGCACUCGAUACUGCCGAGCUAGAGUAUCGGAGAGGUUGGUGGAAUUCUCGGUGUAGAGGUGAAAUUCGUAGAUAUCGAGAGGAACACCGGUGGCGAAGGCGGCCAACUGGACGAAUACUGACGCUGAGACUCGAAAGCGUGGGGAGCAAACAGG